UGACAAAAGCCAAGUUGGUGAAAUUGCAUUUGCCGAGAAUACAUUUAUUCCUAAUAAUAUCAACACUGGGGCAAAGGGAAUCUCUCUCUCUGCUACAGCCUCAUGAUGGGCCUUCCAACCCACAACUUGAAAUUCUCUACAUGAACCUCUAAACACUGUAAUCUGAGCUUUGCUGGUAUUUAACAGAUGAGCCACCUAUGGAGAAUAAAAAGCCACAUCUCAGUGAAAUGGAGGCAAGAAGAGACAGUGAAAUCCUCAUAAGCAAUAAAUUAUUAUGGAAUCCCGUAUGACAUCUACCACCAACCUCAAUGGGUGCAAGAGAAGGCGCUAAAUGGUUAUUCCUUUUACAGAUUAUCUGUAGUACUAAACAGACUGUUAGUCUACACUAGAUUUUUGAUAUUAAAAGCCAGCCAAGAUCUAUAACCUGUAAAAGCAAUUUGUAGAAAAAAUAGAAGUUCUGACA